AGAGUUUGAUCCUGGCUCAGGACGAACGUUGGCGGUGCGCUUAAUGCAUGAGAGUUUGAUCCUGGCUCAGAUUGAACGCUGGCGGCAUGCCUAACACAUGCAAGUCGAACGGAAACGAUGGGAGCUUGCUCCCAGGCGUCGAGUGGCGGACGGGUGAGUAAUACUUAGGAAUCUGCCCAUUAGUGGGGGACAACUAGAAGAAAUUCUAGCUAAUACCGCAUACGCCCUACGGGGGAAAGCGGAGGACCUUUCGGGGCUUCGCGCUAAUGGAUGAGCCUAAGUCGGAUUAGCUUGUUGGUGAGGUAAAGGCUCACCAAGGCGACGAUCCGUAGCUGGUCUGAGAGGACGAUCAGCCACACUGGGACUGAGACACGGCCCAGACUCCUACGGGAGGCAGCAGUGGGGAAUAUUGGACAAUGGGCGCAAGCCUGAUCCAGCAAUGCCGCGUGUGUGAAGAAGGCCUGCGGGUUGUAAAGCACUUUCAGUAGAGAAGAAAAGCCUAUGGUUAAUACCCGUGGGUCUUGACGUUACCUACAGAAGAAGCUCCGGCUAACUCCGUGCCAGCAGCCGCGGUAAUACGGAGGGAGCGAGCGUUAAUCGGAAUUACUGGGCGUAAAGCGCGCGUAGGCGGCUUUGUAAGUCGGAUGUGAAAGCCCUGGGCUUAACCUGGGAAUGGCAUUCGAUACUGCAGAGCUAGAGUAUGGUAGAGGGAAGUGGGAUUCCGGGUGUAGCGGUGAAAUGCGUA
rnacentral:rRNA from 1 species